AAAGACGACCGAAUCAGUGAAGAAAUCUUUCUGCUUUCCAAAGAAGUGGAGCCGCCCAUCUGUCCCCCCAUCAAAGGACUCCUACCUGCCAGAUCUCUGGCUUCCUGAGAAAGCUGCCAGCAGCCCAACCUUCCGUUGGGACGAGGGGGGGGGGGGGGGGUUUCCAGAGAAAGCCUCUCCUGAGAGGUGGAGCUUUCCCACCACAGCCCAGCUCCCAGCAGGUGUAUAAAGAGCAGGAGAGCAGCUCAGGAACAGUAGCCUUCAGACCUCCAGAAGACCUCAGCCAGCCGACCUCUGCCUGCAGACACGUAGACGACAUGCCUUCCAACACAGACAACGAUUGCAUCACUGACAUCACUGUUUAUAUAGAAAAGGGUGGCC